rnacentral:tRNA from 1 species
GCCCGACUAGCUCAGUCAGUAGAGCAUGAGACUCUUAAUCUCAGGGUUGUGGGUUCGAGCCCCACGUUGGGCA